rnacentral:rRNA from 1 species
UACGUAGGGAGCAAGCGUUGUCCGGAUUUAUUGGGCGUAAAGAGCGUGUAGGCGGUCAGGUAGGUCCGUUGUGAAAACUCGAGGCUCAACCUCGAGACGCCGAUGGAAACCAUCUGACUAGAGUCCGGAAGAGGAGAGUGGAAUUCCUGGUGUAGCGGUGAAAUGCGCAGAUAUCAGGAAGAACACCCGUGGCUAAGGCGGCUCUCUAGUACGGUACUGACGCUGAGACGCGAAAGCGUGGGGAGCGAACAGG